AGGCAAAGUGGGAGCCAAAAACCCAAGGGCGGUAGCGUG
rfam:Vibrio sp. qd031 contig_85, whole genome shotgun sequence.